AACGAACGCUGGCGGCAGGCCUAACACAUGCAAGUCGAACGCCGUAGCAAUACGGAGUGGCAGACGGGUGCGUAACACGUGGGAACAUACCCUUUGGUUCGGAAUAACUCAGGGAAACUUGAGCUAAUACCGUAUAAUGACUCCGGUCCAAAGAUUUAUCGCCUAAGGAUGAGCCCGCGUAGGAUUAGCUAGUUGGUGAGGUAAAAGCUCACCAAGGCGACGAUCCUUAGCUGGUGUGAGAGCACGACCAGUCACACGGGCACUGAGACACGGGCCCGACUCCUACGGGAGGCAGCAGUAAGGAAUAUUGGUCAAUGGACGCAAGUCUGAACCAGCCAUGCCGCGUGAAGGAUGAAGGUCCUCUGGAUUGUAAACUUCUUUUAUGUGGACGAACCCUGGUAUUCUUACCAGAUUGACGGUACCAUAGGAAUAAG
rnacentral:rRNA from 1 species